rnacentral:rRNA from 1 species
UGGGGAAUAUUGCACAAUGGGCGCAAGCCUGAUGCAGCCAUGCCGCGUGUAUGAAGAAGGCCUUCGGGUUGUAAAGUACUUUCAGCGGGGAGGAAGGGAGUAAAGUUAAUACCUUUGCUCAUUGACGUUACCCGCAGAAGAAGCACCGGCUAACUCCGUGCCAGCAGCCGCGGUAAUACGGAGGGUGCAAGCGUUAAUCGGAAUUACUGGGCGUAAAGCGCACGCAGGCGGUUUGUUAAGUCAGAUGUGAAAUCCCCGGGCUCAACCUGGGAACUGCAUCUAAUACUGGCAAGCUUGAGUCUCGUAGAGGGGGGUAGAAUUCCAGGUGUAGCGGUGAAAUGCGUAGAGAUCUGGAGGAAUACCGGUGGCGAAGGCGGCCCCCUGGACGAAGACUGACGCUCAGGCGCGAAAGCGUGGGGAGCAAACAGG